rnacentral:rRNA from 1 species
GCCAUGCAUGUCUCAGUNCAUGCCAAANUAAGGUGAAACCGCGAUUGGCUCAUUAAAUCAGUUAUGGUUCCAUGGAUCCUACAUAAAUAUAAUUGGAUAACUGUGGUAAUUCUAGAGCUAAUACAUGCAAACCAGAGUUCCUCUCAGAGAUGGGAGGAACGCUUUUAUUAGAUCAAAACCAAUCGGUGGCGGGCUACCAAGCUCGUCCAUCGUUUGCUUUGGUGACUCUGAAUAACUUACAGCUGAUCGCACGGUCUCUUGUACCGGUGACGUAUCUUUCAAAUGUCUGACUUAUCAACUGUCGAUGGUAGACUCUGCGUCUACCAUGGUCAUAACGGGUAACGGGGAAUCAGGGUUCGAUUCCGGAGAGGGAGCCUGAGAAACGGCUACCACAUCUAAGGAAGGCAGCAGGCGCGCAAAUUACCCACUCCCGGCACGGGGAGGUAGUGACGAAAAAUAACGAUACGGGACUCAUCCGAGGCCCCGUAAUCGGAAUGAGUACACUUUAAAUCCUUUAACAAGGAUCCAUUGGAGGGCAAGUCUGGUGCCAGCAGCCGCGGUAAUUCCAGCUCCAAUAGCGUAUAUUAAAGUUGUUGCGGUUAAAAAGCUCGUAGUUGAAUCUGUGUGCCACACUGUCGGUACACCGCUCGUCGGUGCUUACUGACACGAUGUGGGACGUCCUACCGGUGGGCUUAGCCUUGCACUCGUGCUCGGCGGUCCAACAUACAUCCCAUCGNG